rnacentral:rRNA from 1 species
AGAGUUUGAUCCUGGCUCAGGACGAACGCUGGCGGCGUGCUUAACACAUGCAAGUCGAACGAUGAUCCCCAGCUUGCUGGGGGGAUUAGUGGCGAACGGGUGAGUAACACGUGAGUAACCUGCCCCUGACUCUGGGAUAAGCGCUGGAAACGGCGUCUAAUACCGGAUAUGACAGCCGACGGCAUCGUCUGGUUGUGGAAAGAAUUUCGGUUGGGGAUGGACUCGCGGCCUAUCAGGUUGUUGGUGAGGUAAUGGCUCACCAAGCCUACGACGGGUAGCCGGCCUGAGAGGGUGACCGGCCACACUGGGACCGAGACACGGCCCAGACUCCUACGGGAGGCAGCAGUGGGGAAUAUUGCACAAUGGGCGCAAGCCUGAUGCAGCAACGCCGCGUGAGGGACGACGGCCUUCGGGUUGUAAACCUCUUUUAGUAGGGAAGAAGCGAAAGUGACGGUACCUGCAGAAAAAGCACCGGCUAACUACGUGCCAGCCGCCGCGGUAAUAC